UUACCGAGUGCGGGUCCUUUGGGCCCACCUCCCAUCCGUGUCUAUUGUACCCUGUUGCUUCGGCGGGCCCGCCGCUUGUCGGCCGCCGGGGGGGCGCCUCUGCCCCCCGGGCCCGUGCCCGCCGGAGACCCCAACACGAACACUGUCUGAAAGCGUGCAGUCUGAGUUGAUUGAAUGCAAUCAGUUAAAACUUUCAACAAUGGAUCUCUUGGUUCCGGCAUCGAUGAAGAACGCAGCGAAAUGCGAUAACUAAUGUGAAUUGCAGAAUUCAGUGAAUCAUCGAGUCUUUGAACGCACAUUGCGCCCCCUGGUAUUCCGGGGGGCAUGCCUGUCCGAGCGUCAUUGCUGCCCUCAAGCCCGGCUUGUGUGUUGGGUCGCCGUCCCCCUCUCCGGGGGGACGGGCCCGAAAGGCAGCGGCGGCACCGCGUCCGAUCCUCGAGCGUAUGGGGCUUUGUCACAUGCUCUGUAGGAUUGGCCGGCGCCUGCCGACGUUUUCCAACCAUUCUUUCCAGGUUGACCUCGGAUCAGGUAGGGAUACCCGCUGAACUUAAGCAUAUCAAUAAGCGGAGGAAAAGAAACCAACCGGGAUUGCCUCAGUAACGGCGAGUGAAGCGGCAAGAGCUCAAAUUUGAAAGCUGGCUCCUUCGGAGUCCGCAUUGUAAUUUGCAGAGGAUGCUUUGGGUGCGGCCCCCGUCUAAGUGCCCUGGAACGGGCCGUCAGAGAGGGUGAGAAUCCCGUCUUGGGCGGGGUGUCCGUGCCCGUGUAAAGCUCCUUCGACGAGUCGAGUUGUUUGGGAAUGCAGCUCUAAAUGGGUGGUAAAUUUCAUCUAAAGCUAAAUACUGGCCGGAGACCGAUAGCGCACAAGUAGAGUGAUCGAAAGAUGAAAAGCACUUUGAAAAGAGAGUUAAACAGCACGUGAAAUUGUUGAAAGGGAAGCGCUUGCGACCAGACUCGCCCGCGGGGUUCAGCCGGCAUUCGUGCCGGUGUACUUCCCCGUGGGCGGGCCAGCGUCGGUUUGGGCGGCCGGUCAAAGGCCCCUGGAAUGUAGUGCCCUCCGGGGCACCUUAUAGCCAGGGGUGCAAUGCGGCCAGC
rnacentral:rRNA from 1 species